rnacentral:rRNA from 1 species
UACAGAGGUCUCAAGCGUUGUUCGGAUUCAUUGGGCGUAAAGGGUGCGUAGGCGGCGCGGUAAGUCGGGUGUGAAAUCUUGGAGCUUAACUCCGAAACUGCAUUCGAUACUGCCGUGCUUGAGGACUGGAGAGGAGACUGGAAUUUACGGUGUAGCGGUGAAAUGCGUAGAUAUCUGGAGGAAUACCGGGUGGCGAAGGCGGCAUCCUGGACCGACACUGACGCUGAGGCGGCGAAAGCUAGGGGAGCAAACAGGG